CAACUCCUACGGGGGGCAGCAGUGGGGAAUAUUGCACAAUGGGGGGGACCCUGAUGCAGCGACGCCGCGUGAGUGAAGAAGUAUUUCGGUGUGUAAAGCUCUAUCAGCAGGGAAGAAGAUGACGGUACCUGACUAAGAAGCCCCGGCUAACUACGUGCCAGCAGCCGCGGUAAUACGUAGGGGGCAAGCGUUAUCCGGAUUUACUGGGUGUAAAGGGAGCGUAGACGGCAGGGCAAGUCUGGAGUGAAAGCCCGGGGCCCAACCCCGGGCCUGCUUUGGAAACUGCCAUGCUGGAGUGCUGGAGG
rnacentral:rRNA from 1 species